GAUGAAGAACGUAGCGAAAUGCGAUAAGUAAUGUGAAUUGCAGAAUUCAGUGAAUCAUCGAAUCUUUGAACGCACAUUGCGCCCGCCAGUAUUCUGGCGGGCAUGCCUGUCCGAGCGUCAUUUCAACCCUCGAACCCCUCCGGGGGGUCGGCGUUGGGGACCUCGGGAGCCCCUAAGACGGGAUCCCGGCCCCGAAAUACAGUGGCGGUCUCGCCGCAGCCUCUCCUGCGCAGUAGUUUGCACAACUCGCACCGGGAGCGCGGCGCGUCCACGUCCGUAAAACACCCAACUUCUGAAAUGUUGACCUCGGAUCAGGUAGGAAUACCCGCUGAACUUAAGCAUAUCAUAAGCGGAGGA
rnacentral:misc_RNA from 1 species